CAGUAAGGCUCAUUUGAAAUUCAUUUCCUGCUUACUAACAUGCAAAUCACUAAAAAGCCUUGCAAUAACACUUUUCUAUGAUCAUGCCUUGAAGGUUGACACCAAUGUUGGAAGGAUAGCCGUUAGACUUGGAUGGGUCCCUCUCCAGCCACUUCCUGAAAAACUACAAAUACACCUCCUUGAAUUGUAAGUAUCUUAUGACAACCAAUAUGAAGAUAAACAUAUCACCGAUAGAGACUACUAACCACUGUGCCAUGCAGGUAUCCAGUGCUGGAGUCUAUUCAAAAGUAUCUUUGGCCAAGAUUGUGCAAACUUGAUCAAAGAACCUUGUAAUAUCAUAACUCCCUAAAAUCUGCUAAAAAAAAAACUGUUUUACUAUUAUAGCUGAAUCUGUAACUAAGAGAUAUAUAACAUGAAUGCAGGUAUGAGCUACACUACCAGAUGAUUACAUUUGGAAAGGUAUGCAUAAUUUCAUUCUGCAUUUAAUAUAGUAUUGAUGAAAACAUAGUUUUGUAACUAGCUUUGCUUCACAACCUUGAGAUAUGAGGUUAAAAUUAAUUCAUAUUUCAAAUAUGUAGGUUUUCUGCACAAAGAAAAAACCAAAUUGCAAUGCAUGCCCAAUGCGAGCAGAGUGCAGACAUUUUGCCAGUGCUUUUGCAAGGUUAGCAGAGUGUGUCCAUUGCAUUAUACACUACCGUCAACUUAAUGUAAAAUGCAUGUGAAGCUAUAUAUCAAGCCAUUCAUAUUCUUCAAACAAAAUAAUAAAGUCACAAAAGUCUUUAAAAUUACAACUGAAACUUUAAAGCCAUAACUAAUUUAAUAGAAUAAAGUAACCAUGUCAGUUAAAUGAAAUAAGCCAAAACCAAAGAAAUCGAAAAAAGGACAAAUGAAACUAAAGGCUCGGUUAUAUUCUAGUUUGACUUUGGAUAGGAUCCAAAUAUUUAAUAAGUUUGCAGGUCCAAUGGAAGAGUUUGAAAGAAAGAUUAGCUGUCAAAUUACAUAUUUCGUAUAUUUUCACGCAGAUCAACAUCUAAACAGGUUAAACUUUUAACAAAUUACUCAAACCCCUCUCCAACAUCCCCACCAUUCUUACUCAAGACUUCAUUGAUGCAUCCUUUAGCCGCUAGUUAUUUACAUGUAUUUUCUGAGUCUGUUGAUCAACUUCUUUUCUUCCUAACAGUGUUUUCAGUUCCCUGCUACUUCAUAUUUUUCAUGCUUUUUGUCAUGAUUACAUUUACAUUACUAUAAGCUUUGGUUAUUAGUAACAAGUUCCAGAGAGGGACAGGCGUAAUAAUUUGGAAAUUUAUGACAGAUUUAAUGUUGUAUUCACCUAUUAAUUUGUGGCGAAUGUCCCUCGACGGAAAUGAAUCAUGAUUCAUAACUGCUUAGAUAUCCUGUUUUCAUUCAUGUUACAUCUGAACUGAAUAACUGCAAAAUGCGAAGGAAAAAAAAACCGAAAGAAAAUACAUACGGUGGGGAAAAGCGAUGUGGUGAUAUUGGUGCAGCCAGUUUCAAAAAACCAAGUGCUAUUGAAAAAACCAAGUGCAACCCAACAACACCUCUGCACUCUUGAUAACAAUUAAUGAAAACCUAUUGAAAAGCAUAAUGCUGCAAUUUCUCAUAUUAUAACAGAAGAAUGAUGAUAAACCAAUCAUUCAAGAAAGCAAUCAGAUAAAUCAAGAAAAUAUGAGUUCUUUCUAUCAACUAUGUUGUUCUAGUAUCAAUCGCACAAAGGGACUUAUUAUAUUUUUAUAGGCUGACUAACCCUUUCAUUACAGUGCGCGACUUGCCUUGCCAGGACCAGAAGAGAAGCGCAUUGUGAGCAUGCCUGUUCCCACUUCAGAUGAGAGAAAUCUUCCAAAUUUGAACCCGG
rnacentral:lncRNA from 1 species